AUAAUCAUCCCCACCACUGUUUUGUAGGUACUUCUUAUUUCCUCUCUCAUUUAUAUUAUUUGGAAGUGGAUCUGUGAGUGGUGCCUGAAUAUUUAUAUUUCUUGUAUUUGUAUUUACAGCAUCUUCGAGUCAGAAUCAGUGGAAAGACCCUGAGGAAAUUAUUUUUGGCCUCCUAGUCAUAAAGGAGCAGGAAAAGGAGCUGCUGACACUAACAAGGAAAAAAGGAAGGUGGUUAUUCCUGGAGAAGACGCCUCUCUCCUUAAUAGCCUGACACAGUGAGGUGGCUGCCUGCAGAUUGGGAAACAGUUUCCAAAGCUCAUCAUCACCCAAGUGAGGUGGUUGCCACAGCAGGUCAGUCCCAGCACUUCCAGCCCUGCUGACCAGCGACUGAGUCAGGCUCUCCUGGCCCUGGUCACACCACUCUGCCUCGUGUUCAUGACAGCAAUCUUCAGCUGCUCGUGGUAAGACGACAUAAAACAUACCCUAGUUUCUCAUUUUAGGACAAUGCAAAACAUGCCCUAGUUUCUCUUGUGUGGCCUUUGCCUGAAUUAUUCAGUUCAGCAUUGCUUGCCUUAGUCCUGAGCACAUCCCUCUGGCCCUUGCUCCCUGACGAAUCUCUCCCACCACCUCUUUUCCAGUGACCAAGCUGAACUCAUAGAAUCAUAGAAUCGUUUGAGCUGGAAGGGACCAUUACAAGUCAUCUAGUCCAACUGCAACGAACAGGGACACCUACGGCAGAUCAGAGCGAUCAGAGCUUCGUCCAGUCCGGUCUUGAAUGUCUCCAGGGAUGAGGCAUCUACCGCAUGUUUUUCUAGGCAGCGGGGGCACAUUGCUGGCUCACGUCCAGCUUCCUGUCAAGUCACAGGAGGAUUUCCUUCCACUGGAAGCAUUAACCUGCUUGCUGGGUGGCAGAGGGAGAAGCUGCACAGGUACUAGGAACAUCCAAUAAAAUCAGAAUUCCCACAGACUGAUUGUUGUAAUGGGGGCAAGUGCAAAGGCCACUUCCUCACCCAAAGCUGCCCCAUGAAAAUGCCCCAAACCUUAGGUAGAAAUUUCUGCACUGAGAAGAUUAUUUAACUGGUUUUAGACUGGAUAUGAGGAAGAAGUUAUUUUACAAUAAGGGUAGUGAGGCACUGGGACAGGUUGCCUAGAGAGGUGGUGGAUGCCCCAUCCCUGGUGACACUCAAGGUUAAGAUGGACAUGACUCUGAGCACCCUGAUCUGCUGUAGGUGUCCCUGUUUGUUGCAGGGGAGUUGCACUAGAUGAUCUUUAGAGGUCCCUUCCAACUCAAACAGUUCUAAGAUUCUAUGGUUGUAUAAGUGCAAACCGAAUUGUGCACGCUGAUAUUUGCAUAUCCUAAAAAAAAAUGCAUCACAGCAUCAAACUUUUUCUGUAUGGUAACAGUACUGGGAUUAAAAAAAAACAACCUACCAUAUUAAAAAUGGUGCAACCCACAUAAAUUAAAAACAGUAAAUCUUUCCACUAUGUUGACAAAGCGGGUGAUUUCCGUUCUCCAAGACUUGCACACUUUUGUGUCAGUGUUCUUAAUGGCACCUCUCUCAGGUUUUGGAGAGAAACAGUUGUUACAGUUGGACUAGUCAUCCCAUUUUUGACCCUGGGAGGAGCCUGAAUACUGCGAGUGUUUGCAGGGCAUCAGGUGAGGAAAGGAAAGGCAGAGGAUAUUUGUUCUUCUGCAUGUUCGGCAAUGCUGUGGAAGGGGAAGAGCCUGGCACCACUAGAAAGAGAUUUACAUUCUUUUGACUCCGCAUAUACACAAAGAUUUAUGAAUGCGGAGCUACAUGUUAUUUAUUGUAGAACUAGUUAACAGGAGCAAAGGUGAGGUUCCUCAGGCAUUUACCACAAAGUCAGAGAUGUACAGGUUAAUUUUCUGCUGCCUUUUCCUGGGAAAUAACAGCUCACAACAGACUGAAGGAUUUUUAGGUAGCAGCUGCAGAAAUGAAUUGAAAUAUAUAGUUUUGUUAUGAAACCUGUUCUAGGCCAUAUCUGGAACAGUAGUGCCAGUUUGGCAACAGCUUAAGAACAGAGCUUUCUGGAAAGUGGAAUUCAGUCACAUAAGACAUUCUGAUAUUACAAAAGAGUGGGAGUUUAAGCACAGAUUUAGAUGACAAGUUGACCUCGCUUUUAGUUAGAGGCAAAAUAGUCUCAUUUGGAAAAAGAAAAAAAAAAAUUUGAACUAUUUUAAAAAAUGAUAAAAUACUCAAAUUCUUAAUAUAAAGAAAAAGAUAAAAUUGGGUAAGAAAUUGGAGCCCAGUGAGAUGAAAAGUACCCAGCCUCUGCACCCAGCUGCUUCCAGAGCACUGAAUUAUUUCAAUUAUUCUUCUGUUUCUUUGUUCUCCCCAAACCGUGAGUUGUUAUUCCACAGUAUAUAUAGGGAAUAUAUUCUCUUGGAGGCAGCAUGCUUGAUCACCCCCCCCAAAAAUGCAAAAACACAACAGUAUGCUGAAGUAGCAGUGCUGAGCAUGCUGAUGUCCCAUCUACCUUAGCAAUCCAUCAGUGCACGGCAGUAGAUCUACAGAGCAUGCACACUCUCUGUCUCAUGUUUUUUUUACUUUGUGGAAAAGGAGCAUGUUUGCGGCUGGAGCUGGAUGCACUUCACAUUCUCUUAGGCCAAACCAAAGAAUAGGAUCUGGAAGGCUCACCAGCAAACCUUCCAGAUCUGGACUAAGAUGCUAAUGCAGAUGUGUCCUGAAUAUGAAGCUGGCAUGCACCUACAAAGAGUGCCAGCAGCUUGCAUCAUUAGCUGCUGAAUGGUAUUAUAUGCUUAGGGAUUCCUGACUACUGAGUUAAAAUAUCCAAGGCAUCCAAUAAAUUAUUAUUAUUAUUAUUGGAUCUUUGUUCAAAUACAGCAUAUGAGCUGUAUUCCCUAUUAUUUAUUUGUCUGGUGUAAUUCUCUGUAGAAACUAUUAAUGGAAUAAAUGUUACCUUGAAAUAAAUCACUGAACAGAAUGUAUGGGCUCUGAAACAGAAAUGCACAAUACAUAAUAGUAGUUCAGCCUUCUUCCUAAAGCCCUUGCUGCAUAGCACAGGACUCAGACUAAGCACUCUUGGUAAUCGCUGGUACUUACUUCCAGCAGUGCACAUGGAAGAAGAUCCCCUUUUCUCAAGGCAUAUAAUAAAUAUUAAGUAAGAAUAGGGUCAAAUUUCCUGUUGAUUACUUCUUCUCAUUCAUUUACUGAACACAAGUGGACCAGCAUUCCACUUCUGUUUUCUCACUCAUUUACAGACUGUGCCUGGUACUUAAGGAUAUUUCAAAAAAGUUGUAAUGUAAAACAUAAAGGAUAGGAUUAACAACCAAAUCAAUCAAUCAAACAAGAACAAAAUGAAACACCACACACACCCCCCAAAAAUCCACAAAUAAUAGAUAGCCAGCGUUGUCAUUGUAAGAACAAGAAUGUACAAUUUAUCAAAGAAGGAAUAAUUAAACUUCUGUCAGUUCACACAUUAUUUUGGUCAGAAUUCAGGGCUUAAUAAUUUUCUGACUUGAGCAUUGUGGCUUUUUUUAUUAUGAGUAUUAUAGAAUCAUAGAAUCAUCAAGAUUGGAAAAGGCCUCCAAGAUCAUCCAGUCAAACUGUGUACCCACCACCAAUAUGUCCCCACCGUGUCCCUUAGUAAAACAUCUAAACAUUUCUUGAACACCUCCAGGGAUUGUGACUCAACCAUUUUCCUGGGCAGCCUGUUUCAGCGCCUGACCACUCUCUCAAAGAAAUUUUUCCCUAAUAUCCAACCUGAACUUCCUCUGGUGCAACUUGAGGUCAUUCCUUUAUACUGCUAAUGCUCCACCUUAAAACACAAAACCCAAACCCCUCUGCUGUUACAAGUAGGUAAGUGUUGGCUGAGUUUUCUCCCCCCGGUAGUCUAAUUUUGUCAUAUGUACAAACAGGCUAAAAUAUCUGUCUGCAUCAUGUUGUGGUAGAGUCUCAUGCUGCCUCAUCCUUGGCUGGAUUUCUUGCUGGUUUUGAAAUGAGUGCUUACACUUCAUGCUUAGAUCAGCCAAUAUGCUGUGCAAAAAGCAGACAAAUUUUAUAUGCCCAUCUUGAAACUAAAGACAAAUUUUUAACACUUGGUAGCUCUUAAAAAACAGUAUAACAAAUUAGAGCAAAAUCCUAGCCAUUUUAUUUGUAUGCCAGCAAAAAUAAUGAAGAUCAAGGCAUUUGUAUGUAGUCACAAAAAACAAUUAUAUUAGAAUCACAGAAUCAUUCAGAUUGGAAAAGACCUCUGAGAUCGUCCAGUUCAACCUCCAACCCACCCCCACCACAUCCACAAACCACGUCCCUCAGUGCCACAUCCACAAGGUUCUUGAACACCUCCAGGGAUGGUGACUCCACCACCUUCCUGGGCAGCCUGUGCCACUGCCUCACCACUCUUUCUGAGAGGAAAUUUUUCCUGAUAUUAUUACAAAGAAGUAAUAAAAUGUGUCACUCAAGGCAUGCCAUAGAUCCAUAGAUUCCAAAAUAAUGGAAAAUUUCUGUUUCAAAUUCUGUGCAAAAUUUGCAGCACUAAAAGGACAAGCAUUUUUAAGCUGAUAAGCACGUUGCAAGGAAGCUUCUUAAAGACAAUGCAUUUCAAGUUCUACAGUGUUACAUUUGUGAUUUCUUUUUGAGGCAGACAUUUCAAAGGCAAAAAGAUAUCCUUCUGAAGUUAAUAAGCAAAUUUGAAUUGUUUUCCGGGAAGAUUCUAAAUCAUGGCAUCAGUGUAGAUUUAUAGGAUCUGGGUAUUUAACGGGAGAAAUACCAGUAUUCACAUGUAGACAUUAUUACCUCUUUUGAUAGGUCAUGAAGUGCUGAAUUUUAUUUGGUAAACUGAAGCAUUGUUUGUAUUUCUUUGUUGAGUCAAAAGAACUUUCCAUCAAACCAAUAUGACAGUUCUAAGAAACUGAAUGGGAAUUAUUUUGUUAGCUAAGUUAAACAGCUGUGUUAAUAAGUAGCUCACCUUUUGAAAGUUAAUGUCAACUGAAAUAAUAAAAAGUUCUCUGUUAAACAGUCACAUCUACUUAAUAGUCUUGGACACGCUCUAGAACAACCUCUCCUAUUUUACAGCAGGCUGAACUUUUACUUCUAAGUUACCUGAACGAACAAAGCAGUUCAGCCUAGACUGUAUUUGUUAUUUACAUCUUUGAUCAAAUCUCCCGAUUCUUGGCAAGCAUAGAAUAGAUGCCAAAGAAAUCAGCAGCAGAGCGGAUGACCAGCUGGAUGGCAUUCCCUGCUGCAGAGAGGAUCUGGAAACAUAAAAGAAUUCUUAAAAUCACAGGUCGAUGGCUAGCUGCGAGGGCAUCAAUGGAUGCACUACUUCAAAGUGCUGAGAUGUAAAGCAUACCACACGUAGGCGAGAAAGCUGAAGAGUCUUGUGUGCAGGAUGAAGCGGCAUCUAUAUGUAAUGAAUGUAAUAAGUGCGGACUGAUUAAAUUCAGCUAAUCUAUCUCUAAGAAAAUCAUAUUCCUGAAAUACUUAUCCUAUGCAGCUUUUAAAACACUUUCUGGCUCUCCCUCUCUGAGCUAAUUUGUACCUGAAGAGUCACUUCCUUUUAUCUAAUUGUAAGAAAUAUCCGGCUGAAUGAAGACGCAAACCUUACUUGAUCUUUGAUGACAAAUCAAAAGUGUGUGCAGUUCUUCAUGAGAGGAUGAAGCAGAUGAUGACCUGUCCUCUUGCUGUCUGAGAUGGGACAUUUUAUUUGCUGAUCUGAGUGGAGAUGUCUGGCUGCCUAGCCCGUAAUGAAGAUGUGUGGGCGCAUUUCUAUCUCCUUCCUUAAGUGUAAAGCUCAGUGCUAUUAGAGCUUUGAAUUUGCCAGGAGAAGGGGCAAAUAAUCUUGUAGGGUUAAGGAUUUAACUAAAGAUUGCUUCUGGAAGUUGCCUCUGGAGGGUCUUUGUUCAGGUGGCCAGAUCAUUCUGCAUGAGGUCUUAAAGUAUGAAGAUAGAGCUAACAGGGCCAUCUUGCUUUGUAGUGUGUUUGAAGGAGUUGUGCUUGUGAAAAUGAGUAUCAAGACAAAGAAAUGAAAUAAUGAAAUUCAAAAGUAAAUAUGGGAGGAGUCACACUUCUGAAGCUUGUACCUGGAAAGAAGAGAAACACCACUCCGUGUCAUGAAGUUGUCACCUGCACUUGUCAGCAGCAUAGCCCUUUCUUUGUUGACAUUUUGUGUGAUGCUAACAUGACAGUGAUGACAAGUCACCAUUUUGCUGCAUGAAACUAUGUGGCUGUCACUUGGAAUUCGUCUACCCUAAGGUAUUUACUAAACACAGUGAAGCUUACACAUAUCUAUCCUCUGGUCAGCACAUUGAAAAGAAGUCUGGAAGCUUACUCACCCAAGAAAUGAAGUGUA
ensembl:lncRNA